UAAGUAGGACAAAUGAUCGCGGCUGCAAGUGUCGAAAGACCGCAGGUGAGGAAAGUCCGGGCUUCACAGGGCAGAAUGCCGGAUAACGUCCGGUGGAGGCGACUCCAAGGAAAGUGCAACAGAAAUAUACCGCCGAUUCUGGCUUGACCAGAAUCUGGUAAGGGUGGAAGGGCAGUGUAAGAGACUACCGCCUUUCUGGUAACAGGAGGGGCAUAUGUAAACCCCAUUCGAAGCAAGACCGAACAAAAGCGUUGACGUGGCCCGCCAGCUUUAGGUAGGUCGCUUGAAAUGGCUGGCAACAGUCAUUCUAGAAAGAUGAUCAUUCGUGUCUGCAUUUGCAGACGGACAUAACCCGGCUUAUCGUCCUGCUUAUUUU
rnacentral:RNase_P_RNA from 2 species